GGCACUAUGGCCGAGUGGUCUAAGGCGAUUGACUCGAAUUGGAUCAUUUUAUAUGAUCUGUGAUUUGUUAUCAAUUCUCUUCGGAGGCGUCGGUUCAAAUCCGACUGGUGUCG